rnacentral:rRNA from 1 species
GACGAACGCUGGCGGCGUGCUUAACACGUGCAAGUCGAACGGAAAGGCCCUGCUUUUGUGGGGUGCUCGAGUGGCGAACGGGUGAGUAACACGUGAGUAACCUGCCCUUGACUUUGGGAUAACUUCAGGAAACUGGGGCUAAUACCGGAUAGGAGCUCCUGCUGCAUGGUGGGGGUUGGAAAGUUUCGGCGGUUGAGGAUGGACUCGCGGCUUAUCAGCUUGUUGGUGGGGUAGUGGCUUACCAAGGCUUUGACGGGUAGCCGGCCUGAGAGGGUGACCGGCCACAUUGGGACUGAGAUACGGCCCAGACUCCUACGGGAGGCAGCAGUGGGGAAUAUUGCACAAUGGGCGGAAGCCUGAUGCAGCAACGCCGCGUGCGGGAUGACGGCCUUCGGGUUGUAAACCGCUUUCGCCUGUGACGAAGCGUGAGUGACGGUAAUGGGUAAAGAAGCACCGGCUAACUACGUG